rnacentral:rRNA from 1 species
GUCGAGAAUCUUUCACAAUGGGGGCAACCCUGAUGGAGCGACGCCGCGUGGAGGAUAAGGUCUUCGGAUUGUAAACUCCUGUCAUGCGUGAACAAGGUUGCUUGGUUAAUACCUGGGCAAAUUGAUGGUAACGCAAGAGGAAGAGACGGCUAACUCUGUGCCAGCAGCCGCGGUAAUACAGAGGUCUCAAGCGUUGUUCGGAAUCACUGGGCGUAAAGGGUGCGUAGGUGGCGUGGCAAGUCAGAUGUGAAAGCCCGGGGCUCAACCUCGGAACUGCAUCCGAUACUGCCAUGCUAGAGUACUGGAGGGGUGACUAGAAUUCUCGGUGUAGCAGUGAAAUGCGUAGAUAUCGAGAGGAAUACCAAAGGCGUAGGCAGGUCACUGGACAGUUACUGACACUGAGGCACGAAGGCCAGGGGAGCGAACGGGAUUAGAAACCCUAGUAGUCC